CUGUGGUCUUGUGCUCUUCACUUGAGUUACUCUGUUUUGUGCUUUUCAAAAACUGUUUCUUGAUUGUAGGUCAAGAAGCUAUACAAGAAGCCGAAGCAGAGGCUGGUAUAGUAGAGAUCGUUCAAGAAGUCGAAGUAGUUCCUACCACAGUUACAAGAGUCGUAGUCGAACCUAUAGUAGAAGCAGAUCAAGAAGUAGUUCCUAUGGUCAUCACAGCCGAUCCAGUAGGUCAUACACGUAUGAUAGUUACUAUAGCAGAAGCCGAAGUAGAAGUAAAAGGAGUGACAGCUAUCGGAGAUCUAGAAGUUACGAUAGGCGAUCCAGAUCGUAUGGCUCUGACAGUGAGAGUGAUCGCAGUUACUCCAACAACCGAAGUCCCAGUGAAAGCAGUGGGUAUAGCUGAAAAUCUUUCUGUGACGAUUGAAACCGUAUUUAAUAAGUUUGUCAGUGUUAUGUUUAAAACCAGAACUGUUCUGAGGAUGUCACAAGUGAAGUUGAAGGAUGUUUACUGA
rnacentral:lncRNA from 1 species